UACGAAGGGGGCUAGCGUUGCUCGGAAUCACUGGGCGUAAAGCGCACGUAGGCGGAUUGCUAAGUCAGGGGUGAAAUCCUGGAGCUCAACUCCAGAACUGCCCUUGAUACUGGCGGUCUCGAGUCCGGGAGAGGUGAGUGGAACUGCGAGUGUAGAGGUGAAAUUCGUAGAUAUUCGCAAGAACACCAGUGGCGAAGGCGGCUCACUGGCCCGGAACUGACGCUGAGGUGCGAAAGCGUGGGGAGCAAACAGG
rnacentral:rRNA from 1 species